rnacentral:rRNA from 1 species
AUCUGCAGCCAUACCACCCUGAAUGCGCCUGAUCUCGUCUGAUCUGGGAAGCUUAGCAGGUUCGGGCCCAUUUAGUACUUGGAUGGGAGACUGCCUGGAAAUACCAGUCGUUACAGGUU